rnacentral:rRNA from 1 species
CCUACGGGGGGCUGCAGUGGGGAAUAUUGCACAAUGGGGGAAACCCUGAUGCAGCGACGCCGCGUGAGUGAAGAAGUAUUUCGGUAUGUAAAGCUCUAUCAGCAGGGAAGAAAAUGACGGUACCUGACUAAGAAGCCCCGGCUAACUACGUGCCAGCAGCCGCGGUAAUACGUAGGGGGCAAGCGUUAUCCGGAUUUACUGGGUGUAAAGGGAGCGUAGGUGGUUCGGUAAGUCAGAUGUGAAAGCCCGGGGCUCAACCCCGGGACUGCAUUUGA